CAAAUUCAGCAAUUGCCAAGCUUAUGCAGUGAAGUAAACCACUGGAAACAGGAAGCUGGUGAAGAUGUAAUUGAACAAGAGGGGCAUGUUCUAGCCCCAGCAAGCAGCAGGACUUGGAAGCUUUGGCCAAGUGAUUCCGGGUUUAGAGUCAAGAACUCUUGACUCUAAAUUAUUGGAUUGAGUUAUGAAAUCUCCCUUUAUGACUAAGGAAAGUCACUGAGGUCAGUUGGGUGGCAGGAGGCUCAGAGGGGCCAUUGAGUGAAGCUGUGAAGGUGAAAUCUGGAUUUCCUCGGAGACCCCAAGAGGUUAGAGAUGCCAGAGCUGUGGGAUAUCUGUCAAGGAAAGCUGCUAACAGGGAGUGGAAACAGCUCAAGAGAAAGAAGUGUGUUUCAGUCAACAAAGCUGAAAGGAGUUGGAAGUCUGAAGAACAUUUUGACAUCAGACAUGGAGAUCCAGAAUUUGGAGUUUGGUUUUUGGUCUUGCUUUGGAACCAACAAUGGAAAACUUUUAUCCCAGCUAAUGAGAACCACAAAGCCGUAAACUACCUCACCACAGGGUGAGGGGAAAGGGCUGCCGUGGGUCCGUCUGCACAGGAGUUCCUCAGAGGAGUGUGGUGACUGACUCUUCACAGUGUGGAGGAUCUUCUCUGAGAGGAGUCAGAAACUCUGGAGGUGACCUUCGCUGACCCAGUCAGCUUCUCACAGGAGAGCUCACCAGCUGCACACACCACUGAUCUGGAGGAGGAAAGGAAUGCAGUUUUUGCUGAGAGAUGUAUAAAGUUCGUGGGGAUAAGCAGUGAUUGGCGAGACUCUCGGAAUUCACCUCUUGCCAUCGGCUCACUGAAAUCAGUCUGAUGUCUUGGUUACAAAUCCAACUUCGACACUUGUGUGUGCUCCCAAUGCUGCUGCUGACCUCCCUGCUCCCUUAGCUGUAAAGCAUAAACAAUCCAGUUGGUAACACUCAUCUGCAAAUGUUGCUGAGAAAUCAGAAGAAAUAAGAAAAAGAAGUCAUUUCAAAGUCGGUUUUUGUGUGCAUGUAUGGCUGGGUACCUCAUGCAUGCAGUGCCCUGGAGGCCAGAAGACUUUGGAUUCCCCUGGAACUGGCGUUAUGGACGGUUGUGAGCCAUUAAAUGGGUUCUGGUAAACGAACCUGUGUCUUCUGCAUGAAGGACAACUGCUUUUAAAGCAUUUCACCAUCUCUCCUGCCCACGCAAAGUUGAUUUUUAAAAUAAACUUUAUUAUAAAAAAAAAACCUGGGAAUAAAGAACAUCAUGGACUAAAAUUAACCAGACCCAAAGUCUGCACAUCAACGACGAACAAGAGGUUUAAGUGAAACACAAAAAUAAAUGACUAAAAAAUCAUAAUAACAGGGAGGCCUCAGGGAACAGAAGGGAGCAAGUUUGAAAGGAAUCGCUAGCAGGUACAAAGUAUCCCUCCUCCUCUCCCCCUGAGAACAUUCAUACGUCUCAAGGAAGCUUCUAGAAUCCAUAUUCUCUCACACAAAGCCUUAACUGCCCCUGUGGGUUUUAUUCUGACAGCAGUCCUCAGGGCAGCAAGUAGACAGUAGAUGCUUCUACCAUAGAAGUCGUCCCUCUAAGGAGAGCAGAUGUCCAACUGUCUGGAAGAGAAUUUAUCACAAGCAUCUUCGCUUCCUCGAAAGGCCAUUGCUGGUCAGUUUGUGCCCAGGGCAGUUCUGUGAGACUAGGGCAACAAUUUUGGCAGCUGUAGAUUGUGGGGAGUCACUGUUUCUUGGGGGGCUUGUCCUACAGCAGCCAGGGGCCCGGAAGUCUCUGGAAGGAAAAAGACCUUGUUGGCAAAGCCCCCCCACUCAAUGCCUUACUAGUGCAUUUGAGGCUGCUCCCUUGAUCUCUGCCCCUGAGUCUGGUUUUAACCCGAAUGUAGAUGGUACAUACUUACCCCUCAAUGCAAAUAUGUAAAUAGAUACAAAUAUGCAUUUUACAUGUAUAGGUGAGCCCUUUGCAAAUGUGAAGAAAAAAUUCUUGUGAAUUGUCUUUAUUAUAUUUUUGUACCUACUAUUUCUUUUUAAAGAAGAUUUGCUUUUAUUUUAUGUAUGUAUAUGAGUGCCCCCAUAUAAAUAUAUUCCCAUGGAGGCCAGAAGAGGGCACUGGAUCCCCUAGAACUGGAGUUAGAGAUGGUCGUUGAGCCACCAUGUGGGUGUUGAGAACUGAACCAGGACCUUCUACAAGGGCAGGGAGGGCUCUUUACCAAUGAGCCACCUCUCCAGCCCCAGCUUCCAUUGUCC
ensembl:lncRNA LOC120095690 uncharacterized LOC120095690